AUGUCCUUGAGGCAGCCCCAGUGUGGGAACGGUACCCUGAAGAUGCUUUCCAAGGACAGGACAGGAGAGGAGGAAAAUUCUAAUGAAUAAAUUAUGACUUCGCUCAACAUUGAGAAAUAUUAUG